UACGUAGGGUGCGAGCGUUGUCCGGAAUUAUUGGGCGUAAAGGGCUCGUAGGCGGUUUGUUGCGUCGGGAGUGAAAACACUGGGCUUAACCGAGUGCUUGCUUUCGAUACGGGCAGACUUGAGGCAUUGAGGGGAGAACGGAAUUCCUGGUGUAGCGGUGAAAUGCGCAGAUAUCAGGAGGAACACCGGUGGCGAAGGCGGUUCUCUGGCAAUGUUCUGACGCUGAGGAGCGAAAGUGUGGGGAGCGAAC
rnacentral:rRNA from 1 species